CCUCUACUCUCUACUCUCUCUCUCUACUCUGUCUCUCUAAUCUGUCUCUCACUCUCUCUCUACUCUCUCUCUACUCUGACUACUCUCUCUCUAUUCUCUCUCUACUCUGUCUGCCUGGAAGCCCUGUUCUGUACCUUGUUGCACACCAAAAUAGCCUGGGUUGUAUUCACUAGAAACCAAACAGAAGAAAACAGACUACCUGAACUUGUCCAAAAAAGAAACAAAUUUUUGUUGCUGAACGCUUUCCGUGUGUUUAACGUUCUGCUACGUUGUGCACUAAUGAACACGACCCUGAUACCGUAGACAGGCUGUCCUAUAGAAGCGUUCUGUCCCACCGACCAGCCAAAGGAUUAGCGAAUGUAGAGACCAAACUAAUAUUAGGGUGUCCAAAACACCCUUUGGUGAUGAAGUUUCACUUUCUUAUGUUUUAUAACACAUUUUACGAGACAAAUACGAUUAUUUAUGUUCUGACUCAUUCAGUGGGGUUUUCUUUAACAUAUCCUUAACAUUAUAUCAGAAAGUAGGAUUUUUUUUGUAACCUAACAUCUGAUGAUAACCACCUAGCUCUGUUGACGUUGCAGUGCACGUUUCUCCUAACAACUUUUGAGGAUUUUACAUUUUGUUGUCGUUGUCUUCAAAGUUGUUUCCGCGUGUGACACAAAAAAAAAACAGCCAAAUUUGACACGAGCUGAAUUAAAAUGUAAAAGGCUUGAAAAUAAAUAGCUUGGUAUACGCUCAGUGCCCUGUACACAUUUCACAGAGAAACGCUUUGUUUUUGUGUGAGAAAGCUUUGAAAAAGAACAGGAAUUUUUGAGUGAAUAUGAAAAUACUAUGUCACAUCUCAAAAUUGAUAUUUAUGUUACAUCUAGAUUGUUUUAUGUCCUGUUGAUUUGAGAAGAGAGAUGAAGAGUUCAACGGGAAAGGGAUCCUGCCAGUUUAGCUGAUUCGAUGCUAUUUUACAGAUUGUUUUUCUACACAAUUAACAUUAUUUUACCGAUUGGUCAAAAGAUGCGUUUUUGAUUGGAAAUAUGCAGUGUUUCUCUUCUGUUAGAAGGUUGUAGUCUGUUGAGAACGGUUGGUUGCCAAAUAUCUUUUUUUGUAAACAAUGCAGGUGUUUUGAUGGUCUUUGAUGCCCAAAGCCCUUGAAGAGUCCAGCAGCAUCUUCAUCAUGUUUUUUAUCAUGUUGUUGUUGAUGCACUAACAGAAUCAGCUGUCCAGGAGAGUAGAGCAGCAAUCCUCUGGCCAAAGAGGAAACCUACCUCACAUACUGGCUCACAUACUGGCUCACAUACUGGCUAACAUACUGUCUAACAUACUGUCUAACAUACUGUCUAACAUACUGUCUAACAUACUGUCUAACAUACUGUCUAACAUACUGUCUAACAUACUGUCUAACAUACUGUCUAACAUACUGUCUAACAUACUGUCUAACAUACUGUCUAACAUACUGUCUAACAUACUGUCUAACAUACUGUCUAACAUACUGUCUAACAUACUGGCUAACAUACUGGCUAACAUACUGGCUAACAUACUGGCUAACAUACUGGCUAACAUACUGGUUGGUGGUCUGACUCCCACACCUAUUCACUAGGAACCAAACGUAAGCAAACAGGCUGCUCACACAGGAUUUGAUUCUGGGGUACCAAGAUUACACCACACCAUACCAGACUCUUCCUCCUGUGCCCAAUAGCCUGGGGAUGAGGUCGAAGGUUAACUGGGAUGAAUCCAUGUUAGCGUCUCAAAUACCCCUCCUAUCUAGUGUGCUACUGUUGACCAGGAUUCUGGUAGUGCAAUAUAUAUAGGAAAUAGGAUGCAAUUUGGGACGCAGGCAUGUAGUGCCAAAUCGUGUUGGACUGCCUCCUCCCUCUUCCUCCCUCCCCUAUCCACUGUUAUGUAACACAGUGUGGUUGUUGACGUGGAUUUUGAUGAUAUCUCUGUUCACUACUCAGCUAUCUGCAGCUGGGACAUUACACAAAACCGGUACGAUUUUUUAAAACCAAAAUAAAUACUUAUUUCUGAGCACCUCACGACAUUAAGGACAUAUUGAACCUCUUAAGAAAACAUAUUUUUCCAUCUCAGGCAAGAAAAGCCCUGUCAUUAUCAGCCAUUUUCUUCUGAUAUGGACACGAUUUGUCCUUUUAUGGACACCGUGGAAGUUGUCUGGAUGUGAUUAUAACAUACACUUGUAAUAAAAUUAAUAUUUCACAUGUCAACAGGUCAUCUUACUGAACAGGUCAACACAGGUCAUCUUACUGAACAGGUCAACACAGGUCAUCUUGGUCAACAGGUCAUCAUACUGAACAGGUCAACAGGUCAUCUUACUGAACAGGUCAACAGGUCAUCUUACUGAACAGGACAACAGGUCAUCUUACUGAACAGGUCCACUUACUGAACAGGUUAUCUUACUGAACAGGUCAACAGGUCAUCUUACUGAACAGGUCCACAGGUCAUCUUACUGAACAGGUCCACAGGUCAUCUUACUGAACAGGUCAACAGGUCAUCUUACUGAACAGGUCAACACAGGUCAUCUUACUGAACAGGUCAACACAGGUCAUCUUACUGAACAGGUCAACACAGGUCAUCUUACUGAACAGGUCAACACAGGUCAUCUUACUGAACAGGUCAACACAGGUCAUCUUACUGAACAGGUCAACAGGUCAUCUUACUGAACAGGUCAACAGGUCAUCUUACUGAACAGGUCAACAGGUCAUCUUACUGAACAGGUCAACAGGUCAUCUUACUGAACAGGUCAA